rnacentral:rRNA from 1 species
UACGUAGGGUGCAAGCGUUGUCCGGAUUUACUGGGCGUAAAGAGCGCGCAGGCGGUCGUUCAAGUCGCGUGUGAAAUCCCUCGGCUUAACCGGGGAACUGCGUCUGAUACUGGAUGGCUUGAGUUUGGGAGAGGGAUGCGGAAUUCCAGGUGUAGCGGUGAAAUGCGUAGAUAUCUGGAGGAACACCGGUGGCGAAGGCGGCAUCCUGGACCAACACUGACGCUGAGUGAGCGAAAGCCAGGGGAGCAAACGGG